rfam:Canis lupus familiaris chromosome 7, whole genome shotgun sequence.
AAGACUAUACUUUCAGGGAUCAUUUCUAUAGUUUGUUACUAGAGAAGUUUCUCUGAACGUGUAGGGACCCAAAACCACGAAGAGGAGGUGCAGUGUCCCUUCCUGAGCGUGAAAUUGGCUUUGGGUGUCACUUUGGUGUUGCCCUUUGUCCUUGAUGAUCGUUCUUUUUUCUCCUUUGGGGGGAACUAGAAGGAAGGGAUGCCAUCUGAGUGGU